rnacentral:lncRNA from 1 species
UGUGAGGGGGGCUCCUGCCUUCCGGGGGGCUGUGUACCUGCAGGGCAGGUGCUCAGCGGGAGCACAGAGCUCACACAGGCGUCUUGGGGAGCCGCCACCUCCAGCAGGGCUCGGCUGGGAAUUUUUGUCAGCCCUGGAGCUUCUCUCUCGCUUCUUCCAGGAGCAGUGCCGAACUUCCGGCUCCCUCUUGCAGACCUGGCAGCGGACUGGGAGCUUGAAGCCUGCGGCGUGUUUUUCCAAAAUCCAAUCCUUUUUCUGUGAUCCCUUCCCAAAACGGGGACAGUCCUGAAGGAGACGUUUCUGGGUCAAGUUUGCCCCUCCAUCUCCUUUCUUGGCUUCAUGACAUGGAAAGACUUCACUUAGCUCGGGCGGUGUCUGCAACAGAGACCCUUUUGACAAAAUGAUCUGAUUUUGGAGAUUUUGCCUUGUGAAACGUUGCAAACUCUUCAGAAGAAUUUCUCCCAGGCAAAAUGUAUUCUUUUAAUGCCACGAUACGAAGCGAUCAUUUCUAGAAGAGUCGAAGGACAGAAACGCUGUGACCUUAAGGAAGAUGUAAUGCCUUUACCACCGGGGGAUGGAGGAAUUGCCUUCAGAGUCAGACAAUGUCCCAUUCGUACAGGCCAAAUUGAGGUAGGUCAGGUUUGGCUUUGAUCAUUAACCCAAAACUCUCAUAAAGACUCAACCCCUUCCUGUGUACCCAAAAUUGCACCUGCCACCAUAGAGUCUGGUUCUCAAGAAGAAGACGAUGUUGUGAUGUAGAGCUGAGAGCCUGGUGUUUGAAGUCAGACAGCUGCAAGAACAAAUGUCAGCUCUGCCAUUCACUGUAUUAUGUGGCAGCUCCAUUUACUCAUAAUGUUUCGUCCAUGGGGCUGUGAGGGUGCACUGAGGUAAUAGUCCUCAGUGUAGUUCUGCAUCCCAGCCCAUAUGGAACACCUAGUAGCCUUUACAUUUCCAGAAAGGGUGGCUUUCAAGGUUUAAUUCCUUCUCUGAAGUGAUCCAAAUCAGUGGGUCACAUUGCUGUGGACACAUCAGUGUAAACCAAAGAAUGGCCUCUGGUUGGAGACUGGCUGUAUGUUCUCA